UGUGUGUGCGUGUGUGUGUGUGUGUGUGUGUGUGUGUGUGUGCAUUGUGGUCAGUGUCGUCCAUGUUGGUCGUGGCUGCUGCUCUGUUAUUAAUGACGUCGCAACAUGUUGAGAGAGAGAAAA